UACGUAGGGUGCAAGCGUUGUCCGGAAUUAUUGGGCGUAAAGAGCUCGUAGGCGGUUUGUCGCGUCUGCUGUUAAAACCCAGGGCUUAACCCUGGGCCUGCAGUGGGUACGGGCAAACUAGAGUGCGGUAGGGGAGAUCGGAAUUCCUGGUGUAGCGGUGAAAUGCGCAGAUAUCAGGAGGAACACCGGUGGCGAAGGCGGAUCUCUGGGCCGUAACUGACGCUGAGGAGCGAAAGCAUGGGUAGCGAACAGG
rnacentral:rRNA from 1 species